ensembl:lncRNA
AUGAUGAAAACACAAAUAACCAUCUAUGCCCUGGGGAGAGGGAGCACUAAUAGGUUAACAAUCAGGAGUUCAUUAACUUAUUGUCCGUGUCUCCCUCCGUCCAGAAAUAAAAGCAGAGCUAAGCCCCCCCACCACCCCGCUUUACGCACUGUGCCGUCACACCGCCGCGAUGAGGACUUGGAACACUCAGUCGCACUGAUGAGCAACAGCAGCCACGCUCUGCCUCUCGUGCUGCCCCUCACGAGCUUCGGCAACGUGCUGAUGUUCCUCUUCAACGUCCUCCUCGCCGCCGUCAUCAUCUUCCUCAACGUGUCCGUGUCGCUCGCGAUCCUGCUGAGCGGCGCGCUGCGCGGAGAGAACCGCUUCAUGUACAUGCUGAGCACGUGCCUCAGCGACGUCUGCAGCGGCGUGUCUUACUACUACGCCGGUGUCUUCGACGUGAGGGACAGCUUCGAUUCCCCCACGAGAACCUAUCACAUCGUGCCCACGUUCCUGGGCCUCUCGUACCUCGCCAUCCUGGCUGCGCAGGCGGACCGGUACCACGCGGUGGUGUCGCCUUUUAAAUACUCGCAGCGCAUGACGCGCAACCGGACCCUGGCGGUAAUCCUUUCCUACUGGGUCUACGCGUUCCUCAUCGUGGCCGUGAAUAACAUGGUGACGGCCGGGGUAGCCGGGAGGAUCACGAGCAUAGGCUCGUUUAUGGGGAACAUCGUGACGGUGGUCAUAAUGAUAGGGCUCAACAUCAAGCUGUUCGUGGUAGCCAGGUUCCAACUGGAACGCGAGCCGCCCUCCGAGGAGAGGGACAGCCGGCGCUCGUCGGUGUAUCUCAUCCUGGUGGUGGCCGUGUUUUUCUUGGCCACGUGGCUCCCCAUAUUCUGUCACGUCAUAGUGUGCAAUUUCUUCGGGACCACGUGCUACACGUUCAAGAACGAAGGCACCAACCCGCUGCGCAUUCUGCCCCGGGUCAACGCCGCCGUGACGCCCCUGCUGUACAUCAGGGGGUGCUCCGCGCUCCGCUGCGCGCUGCUCGCCGCGGUGUGGAGACCCCGCUGCGGCGGCAAGAGGGUGGUGGCGCGCUGUUAA